rnacentral:rRNA from 1 species
AGAGUUUGAUUCUGGCUCAGAACGAACGCUGGCGGCGUGGAUAAGACAUGCAAGUCGAGCGGAACAUUGCCAGUAGCAAUAUUGGUAAUGUUUAGCGGCGAAAGGGUGCGUAACACGUAGCUACCUACCUCGAAAUGGGGGAUAAUCCCGCGAAAGCGGGACUAAUACCGCAUGUGACCGAAAGGUUAAAGUUGGGGAUCGUAAGACCUGACGUUUUGAGAUGGGGCUGCGGCCUAUCAGCUAGUUGGCGGGGUAACGGCCCACCAAGGCUAAGACGGGUAGCUGGUCUGAGAGGACGACCAGCCACACUGGAACUGAGACACGGUCCAGACACCUACGGGUGGCAGCAGUCGAGGAUUUUUCUCAAUGGGGGAAACCCUGAAGGAGCGACGCCGCGUGGGGGAUGAAGGUCUUCGGAUUGUAAACCCCUGUCAUCUGGGAUCAAAGCGCACGACCUAAUACGUCGUGUGUUGAUAGUACCGGAAGAGGAAGCCGUGGUUAACUCUGUGCCAGCAGCCGCGGUAAUUCAGAGACGGCGAGCGUUGUUCGGAUUCAUUGGGCGUAAAGGGUGCGCAGGCGGCCCAGCAAGUCGGAUGUGAAAUCUCAUAGCCUAACUAUGAGCGGUCAUUCGAAACUGCUGGGCUCGAGGACUGGAGAGGAGACUGGAAUUGUCGGUGUAGCGGUGAAAUGCGUAGAGAUCGACAAGAACACCGGUGGCGAAGGCGGGUCUCUGGACAGUUCCUGACGCUCAGGCACGAAAGCCAGGGGAGCAAACGGGAUUAGAUACCCCGGUAGUCCUGGCCCUAAACGGUGUUCACUUGGUGUGCGGGGAGUCGACCCCCUGCGUGCCGUAGCUAACGCGUUAAGUGAACCGCCUGGGAAGUACGACCGCAAGGUUAAAACUCAAAGAAAUUGACGGGGCCCGCACAAGCGGUGGAGCAUGUGGCUUAAUUCGAUGCAACGCGAAGAACCUUACCUGGCCUUGACAUGCUGGUAGUAGGACCCUGAAAGGGGAACGACCCUGACUUAUGUUAGGGAGCCAGCACAGGUGCUGCAUGGUUGUCGUCAGCUCGUGUCGUGAGAUGUUGGCUUAAGUGCCGCAACGAGCGCAACCCUUGUGUUUAGUUGCUAAUCAGUCGCAAGAUUGGUGCACUCUAAACAGACUGCCUCGCUUUAAACGAGGAGGAAGGUGGGGAUGACGUCAAAUCAGUAUGGCCCUUACGGCCAGGGCUACACACGUGUUACAAUGGAUGGUACAAAGGGCAGCCAAACCGUAAGGUGGAGCUAAUCCCAUCAAAACCAUUCUCAGUUCGGAUCGAGGUCUGCAACUCGACCUCGUGAAGCUGGAAUCGCUAGUAAACGCAUAUCAGCCACGGUGCGUUGAAUAC